UGGUUCAUAGGCCGGCAUUCAAUCCACCGAGCCACACCAGCCAGGGCUCACUACUACUUUUAUUUGGCUGGAUUUUAAAUGUGCCGCUGGCCUGGAAGCCCCUGGAUUCUAAUUGAGGUGGACUCCGGUGUUGGGGUACUUGGUCCAUGACCUGCCGGGCCUGGAGGUGGGGGUGGGAAGUAGAGGAUUCCUACCCUUAAGAGAAGUGGCUCAAUGUCCUCUCCCCUACAGGAUAUUCUUAUCAGGUGUCAGAAGUUACUACAAGGGAUAAGGAGAGAAGCCUAGAGAAUUCUGAAAUAAAUUCUGGCAUUUUUGGCAGUUUCAUAUGUGAUGUUGAUCGUGGACAUGAGCUCUGUGAUAAAAACACUGAUCCAGCUGGUUUGGAAUCUGGGAAACAGAACCCUUCACCAACAAAAGACAGAAACAAGCCAGAACCUCAGAUGUAAAAAACGCACCAAGGAUCUUGACAGGGAUUUCUGUCUCUUGUUUACCAGUGACACCCAGCCCAGAGGCUCAGGUGCUGCCCAAGGCUCGAAAUUCCUGGAGCGCCCCGCCCCGCUGUCCACGGUCUGAAACAUUCGUCUCUCCACCCUGCAAGCUGUUCACCGGGUUGCAUGCGCCCUCCCUGCGCUGUCCACGGUUCUGAACACGCCGUCCUGUGUACUUCCAAAGAACUUGGCACCUCUCUUGCAACCUGUGUACUCCUGAGCCCUCCACAGCCCUGAAAACGCAAUGAGUGCUCAGGAAACGUCUUAUACCCACGGACCCCCUUCAAGAAAGCUUUUAGGUCCCAUUAAUAAAAACAGCAUCAUUGAUUUUUUUUC